rnacentral:rRNA from 1 species
ACAGGGGGCCACACCCCCCUGAAUGUGCCGGGUCUCAGCUGAGCUCAGAAGCUAAGCAGGGCCGGGUCUGGUCAGUCUGCUACAUUGCUUGUGUAGGGAACUUGGUCCCCAGAG